rnacentral:rRNA from 1 species
AUACGGAGGAUCCGAGCGUUAUCCGGAUUUAUUGGGUUUAAAGGGUGCGCAGGCGGGAGAUUAAGUCGGCGGUGAAAUUUUGCAGCUCAACCGUAAAAGUGCCUUCGAAACUGGUUUCCUUGAGUGUAGAUGAAGUAGGGGGAAUUUGUGGUGUAGCGGUGAAAUGCAUAGAUAUCACGAGGAACUCCGAUUGCGCAGGCAGCUUACUAAACUACUACUGACGCUCAGGCACGAAGGCGUGGGGAUCAAACAGGAUUAGAUACCCUGGUAGUCCACGCAGUAAACGAUGAUUACUAGCUGUUUGCGAUACAAUGUAAGCGGCUGAGCGAAAGCGUUAAGUAAUCCACCUGGGGAGUACGUUCGCAAGAAUGAAACUCAAAUGAAUUGACGGGG